AUAAGCGGAGGAAAAGAAACUAACAAGGAUUCCCCUAGUAACGGCGAGUGAAGAGGGAAAAGCUCAAAUUUAAAAUCUGGCGGUCUACGGCCGUCCGAGUUGUAAUCUAGAGAAGUGUUUUCCGCGCUGGACCGUGUACAAGUCCUUUGGAACAAGGCGUCAUAGAGGGUGAGAAUCCCGUCUACGACACGGACUGCCAAGCGCUUUGUGAUACACUCUCAACGAGUCGAGUUGUUUGGGAAUGCAGCUCAAAAUGGGUGGUAAAUUCCAUCUAAAGCUAAAUAUUGGCGAAAGACCGAUAGCGAACAAGUACCGUGAGGGAAAGAUGAAAAGCACUUUGGAAAGAGAGUUAAACAGUACGUGAAAUUGUUGAAAGGGAAACGCUUGAAGUCAGUCGCGUCUUCAGAAAUUCAGCUGGGCUUCUGCCUAGUGUACUUUUCUGUGGGACGGGCCAGCAUCAGUUUUGGCUGCCAGAAAAAGGUGGGAGGAAGGUGGCACCUCCGGGUGUGUUAUAGCCUCUGAUCGUAUGUGGCAGCCGGGAUUGAGGACCGCAGCACGCCUUUAUGGCCGGGGUUCGCCCACGUAACGUGCUUAGGAUGCUGGCGUAAUGGCUUUAAACGACCCGUCUUGAAACACGGACCAAGGAGUCUAACAUGCCUGCGAGUAUUUGGGUGGCAAACCCAUAUGCGGAAUGAAAGUGAACAGUUGGGACUUCUGUCAUGGAAGGCACCGACGCCCGGACCAGACCUAUUGUGACGGAUCCGAGGUAGAGCAUGUAUGUUGGGACCCGAAAGAUGGUGAACUAUGCCUGAGUAGGGUGAAGCCAGAGGAAACUCUGGUGGAGGCUCGUAGCGAUUCUGACGUGCAAAUCGAUCGUCGAACUUGGGUAUAGGGGCGAAAGACUAAUCGAACCAUCUAGUAGCUGGUUCCUGCGAU
rnacentral:rRNA from 1 species